ACUUGUGUGAAUGCUUCUCAAAAGCUCCCUGUAUCUCAGAAGCUAAACAGGGUCGGGCCUGGUUAGUACUUGGAUGGGAGACCACCUGGGAAGACCAGGUGCUGUAGGCG
rnacentral:rRNA from 1 species